CAAACGACUCUCGGCAACGGAUAUCUCGGCUCACGCAUCGAUGAAGAACGUAGCAAAAUGCGAUACUUGGUGUGAAUUGCAGAAUCCCGUGAACCAUCGAGUUUUUGAACGCAAGUUGCGCCCAAAGCCUUUUGGUUGAGGGCACGUUUGUCUGGGCGUCACAC
rnacentral:rRNA from 1 species